GGCGGGGGAAGAGGACGAGGAGGAAGGAGCAGCGCUCGGAGCGGCGGUGGCAGCGGCCCCUGCCCGGGCUGCGGCGGGGACGGAGCCCGCGGGUGUCCGGCCGCGGUGUCCCCCGUGUCCCCACGUGCAGGCUCCUCCUUGCUGCUCUCUGAAAGCAUUUCGAGCUCCACACACAGAAGCUGUUUCUCAGUGAGCAGCUGUGGGGCAUUUGGCUGAUGGUUUUGACAGCAGAGAUGAAUUGAGGACGUGGCAUCUGCAGUCCUGACCUGGAAUUUGAACCCUUUAGUGCCUCUCCCUCCUCCCAGAUGGAGAGGAGGCGGAGGAUCUCGGAAUCUUCUGAUUGCCAUCGAUCUGAUUUUGCUGAGCACUGGCCUCGUAUCACAUCUGUGUGUUCCUUGAGAGAUGAUUUCAAUCUGAAAAAAACCCCUGAUCAUGAAGAAAACCCUGAGAGAGUAGUGAUGGAUCCAGCAGCAGCCCUGGGGAGGCCCCACACUGCUGGAGCCACCAGCUUCAUGGAACAUUUUCCUGGUGUCCAAUAGUGGUUUUCUAGUCUUAAAAACUGAUCACAUUUCCUUUCCUCCCUCCUUCCCUCCCAAAGGCAUUUUUUGUCGUCUGUGUCCAAAACUUCCAGCAGAAACUCCAUGAUUGGAGCAAUUUGGUCCAAUGCCAUGAGAAGGGACUGCUCCACACACUUUAGGAAGAGCAAAAAGGAGAAAGAAAAGAAGGUGAAGCCCUCUGUGCUGUGCCUGAUCACUCAUCAAAGGCAGCUGCCUCCUGUGCUGGCUUGAGGACAUGACAGAUGUCUGCAGCCUUUACAGGUGCAGGGCCUGCAUUUCAUCAGUCUUUUUCCCAUGGGUGACCUGCAGUGUGGUUUAUUAGCAGCUCAGAUUUCCUUGGCCAAGGUGCUGUGUUGUGUACACAUCCGGGUUAAAGCUAAGCAAUAUUUCUGAUCCAUGUAGGAUUCUGACUCGGUCCUGCAUCUCUGGUGUUUACAAAAUGAUCAGAGCUUGAACUCUCCCUGUUCUGUUUCUUAAAUGUCAGCAGAAACUUUUUCUUUUUUUUUUUUAAAUAAAACAAUGCAGCCUUCCCGUGCAAUGUUUGUAACCAAGAAACUGUGGCAUCACAAGAGCAUGAGGAAAUACUGGCUGAUUAAAACCAGGGUAAGAAAUAAGAAAUGACAGCGAAAGUGUUUGUCUUUUUUUUUU